rnacentral:rRNA from 1 species
CAGCAGCCGCGGUAAUACGAAGGGUGCAAGCGUUAAUCGGAAUUACUGGGCGUAAAGCGUGCGUAGGCGGUUUCUUAAGUCUGCUGUGAAAUCCCCGGGCUCAACCUGGGAAUGGCAGUGGAUACUGGGAAGCUAGAGUGUGUCAGAGGAUGGUGGAAUUCCCGGUGUAGCGGUGAAAUGCGUAGAGAUCGGGAGGAACAUCAGUGGCGAAGGCGGCCAUCUGGGACAACACUGACGCUGAGGCACGAAAGCGUGGGGAGCAAACAGGAUUAGAUACCCCCGUAGUCCCUGUCUCUUAUAA